UAACUCGUGAGUGACCUGCCUUUUAGACUGGAACAACUUACCGAAAGGUGAGCUAAUGCCGGAUGAGUUAUAUAAGUGCAUGUUUAUAUAGGAAAAGUUGGGGAGACCUGACGCUGAAAGAUGGACUCGCGUCCCAUUAGCUAGUUGGUAGGGUAAUGGCCUACCAAGGCGACGAUGGGUAGCCGGCCUGAGAGGGUGGCCGGCCACACUGGGACUGAGACACGGCCCAGACUCCUACGGGAGGCAGCAGUGGGGAAUUUUGCGCAAUGCUCGUAAGAGUGACGCAGCGACGCCGCGUGAAUGACGAAGGCCUUCGGGUCGUAAAGUUCUUUCGACAGGGAAGAAAAUGCCUAUAAGUAACUGUGUAUGUAUUGACGGUACCUGUAUAAGCAGCCCCGGCUAACUCCGUGCCAGCAGCCGCGGUAAUACGGAGGGGGCGAGCGUUGUUCGGAGUGACUGGGCGUAAAGAGCACGUAGGCGGUGUUGUAAGUCAUUAGUCAAAGACUAGAGCUCAACUUUAGUAAGGCUAGUGAUACUAUAAUACUAGAGUAUCAGAGAGGAUUGCAGAAUUCCUGGUGUAGCGGUGAAAUGCGUAGAUAUCAGGAGGAAUACCGUUAGCGAAGGCGGCAAUCUGGCUGGAAACUGACGCUGAGGUGCGAAAGCGUGGGUAGCAAACAGGAUUAGAUACCCUGGUAGUCCACGCUGUAAACGAUGGAUGCUAGGUGU
rnacentral:rRNA from 1 species